rnacentral:lncRNA from 1 species
GGAGGGGGGAUACGGUGCAGGAGGAGGGGACUUAGAACCAGGGGGAGAGCGGAGAGCCUCCAGGAUGAACUAGGGGAGAAGGGAAUGGCAGCAGCGUUCGCUCCUAUUCACCGAACCCCUGGCUGGCUGACCCGGGAAAAACAGUCUACCAAUUUAUCUCAUAAAGUAACCCUAAAAUACUUCUGCAGGCAUCACCCUAUGUUCCAGGUGAGCCACUGAGGCUCAGGGAGGACAGAGGUGAAGGAUCUUGCCCCAGUCACAGGAGGAAUCACAGGCAGAAAGGGGGAGAUGGAAAGAGGUAGGAGGGAGAGCAGGGAAGGAGAGGAGGGACUGGAGGGGGCAGAAGGAAGGGGAGGUGGCUGUCCCAGGAUGGAGUCAGGGGCCAUCCUCAAAGUCCAGCUUCAGCUUCUCCAGGUUUUUGCCCACAUCCUGGGACAGGGGGCUCCUCUCCCCCUGGACAUACUCAUCCGGUGGGCAGCUGUGCCUGCUAGGAAGGCCUUCUACCCACCUCCCAGACAUCCCACAGGGAAGCAACUUUCACUCCCAGACCGCUGGUGCUCCCCUGCCUCCCAGGCCUGGGGUGGGUGUGGGUGAGGACGCUGCAAGGUAGUGGUCAGGACACAAGCAUCAGCAUCGGACAUCCCUGGUUCAAGUCCUACUCAGAGUGGGAAGGACACAGACUUUGCAGUGAUUCCUUGUGUGUGACUCCCAGCUUCACCACUCCUGGUUGUGCAACCUCAGACAAAUGCCUUGACCUCCCCUGGCCUCAGCUUCCUUAUCUGUCAAGUGGGGUAUUCCUAGUCUCCCCAGGCCACUGAGGGGCAUGGUGGGAAUGGAUAAGAAUGUGGGUGUGAGCUGUAUGCAUGGGAGGGAUUGAUUAUGUUCCAGUAUGUGCCUGCUAGGAAGGCCUUCCACUCACCUCCCAGACAUCCCACAGGGAAGCAGCUCAUGUUCACUGAGCACUGACGGGAUGGCUGGUCCUACAUGAAGUCCCAGGAAAGACCUGUGCAUGAAGUCCCAGGGAAGACCCUGACCCGCUCCCUGUGCAGGCAGGGUAGACAGACACUUGAACAAAUAACCACAGUCCAAGACACAAAUGCAGAUCAUUUUCAGAUGCAUUUAAUUCUGAACAGCCCUGUGAGGAGGGCAGGACAAAGAUUAUUAUCCCAUUAGACAGAUGAAGAAGCUGAGGUCCAGAUAAAUCAAGUGAGUUGCUGAAGGUCACACAGCAAUGAGGGGCAGAGCUGGGUCUUGACCCUGGAGCCCUUUUCACUCUGGGGGUACCAGGCCUGCCAGAAAGGUUAUCACCAAAGGGUUCUGGAAGAGUGACCUCCUCAAACUUUCCCUGUCCUCAGACUGGCUUGUGGCCUGAGAGUCCGCUAUCAGCACAUCAUACCUUUGGCUAAAAAUGUGCUAAAAAUGUGCCAGCCCCUCCAGUGUCAAUCAAAUGGCCAUCAGUCAUUUACACUUGAGUGUGGAGAAGCCGAUCAGAUUUUAUGGGUUGGAGAUGAGAAGGAAUCUUGAGUGUUUGGACUUUUGGGUGGGAAACUGGAGAUAUGAGAGGAAAGUUUGACAGCAGAGAGAACUCAGGAGGUGGGUGGGGAGGGAGUCAUGGUUAACUGGAGGAUGGAGUGAGUCCGCAUGACCUAGACACCUCUGUGUACCUCACCUCCAUGAAGUAUAACCAAUGUCUGGCACUCGUGGAGCACUUAGGAUAUACCAGACACUGUGCUCUCUCCUUUUUUUUGAGAUGGAGUCUUGCUCUGUCACCCACGCUGGAGUGCAUUGGCAUGAUCUCAGCUCACUGCAACCUCCACCUCUCCGGUUCAAGCAAUUCUCCUGCCUCAGCCUCCCGAGUAGCUGGGACUACAGGUGCAUGCCCAGCUAAUUUUUUUUAAAAACAUAUUUUAGUAGAGACCGGGUUUCACCAUGUUGCCCAGGCUGGUCUCCAACUCCUGAGCUCAGGCAAUCAGCCCGCCUUGGCCUCCCAAAAUGCAGCCGCUCUCUCCUUUAAUCUUUUUGUUUGUUUGUUUUUAAGACAGUCUCACUCUGUCGCCCAGGCUGCAGUGCAGUGGCACAAUAUCAGCUCACUGCAACCUCCACUUCCCAGGUUCAAGCAGUUCUCCUGCCACAGCCUCCAGAGUAGCUGGGACUACAGGUGUACACCACCAUAUUCAGCUAAUUUUUUUGUAUUUUUAGUAGAGAUGGGGGGGGUCACCAUGUUGGCCAGGCUGGUCUUGAACUCCUGAGAUACCCCUGCCUCAGCCUCCCAAAGUGCUGGAAUUACAGGUCUGAGCCACCAUGCCCGGCCUCUCCUUUACUCUUCAUGGCAACUGUUAUCUUUCUUUUUACAGAUGAGAAAAGGGAGGCACAGAGAGGCUAAAUAAUUUGGCCAAGAUCACACAGAAGCAGAGGAGCAGAAGGGUGGACCCAGGCAGGCCAGCUCUGCAGCCCCUGCUCUUGGCCACCAUGGGCUCCUCCUCUGGGCUAACCCAGCCCUUGCCAGAAUCCUACAUGGAAAGUAUUAUCAUCCCAUUGAAUAGAAGAGGAAAUGGAGGCACAGAGGGGCCCCAGGAUGGCAGAAUUAGUAACUGGGGUUGGGGGGAGCUGGGAUUAGACCCAGGUCUGAAAGCCAGGCCUUCCCUCUACCCUUCCUAUUUGCCAAACACCCGGGCCCCAUCCUGCCCAAGGUCAGCAGCCCAGGUGGCAGGAUGUGCUUCUGCCUGGUGCUGGCCUUGGGGAGCACUUGUUUUUCCCCAGAGGAAGCAGCAGGUGUGGCCUUCUUUAUGGAAAUGAUCCUAACUGGGUUGGAGCCAGGAUUCCCCCCAACACACACCCAGGCCAGGAGGACUUCAAUAGGACUAGGUCAGAGCUUCUAGGCUUGGAUGGAGG